UCCUGGUGGCUCAGACAGUAAAGAAUUUGCCUGUAAUGCAGGAGACCCAGGUUCAAUCCCUGGGUCAGGAA
rnacentral:tRNA from 1 species